rnacentral:rRNA from 1 species
UUUUGUGUUUCGUAGUGACUGCGG